UACGGGGGGGGCAAGCGUUGUUCGGAAUUACUGGGCGUAAAGGGCUCGUAGGCGGCCAACUAAGUCAGACGUGAAAUCCCUCGGCUUAACCGGGGAACUGCAUCUGAUACUGGAUGGCUUGAGUUCGGGAGAGGGAUGUGGAAUUCCUGGUGUAGCGGUGAAAUGCGUAGAUAUCAGGAGGAACACCGGUGGCGAAGGCGGCUUUCUGGACAGAAACUGACGCUGAGGCGCGAAAGCUAGGGGAGCAAACAGG
rnacentral:rRNA from 1 species